GAUUAACGCUGGCGGCGUGCAUAACACAUGCAAGUCGAACGAAGUGGCGGACGGGUGAGUAACGCGUGAGUAACCUGCCUUAGAGAAGGGGAUAGCCUUUGGAAACGAAGAAUAACACCCUAUGCUCAAAGAUGGACUUGCGUCUGAUUAGUUGGUGGGGGGGGUAACGGCUCACCAAGACAGCGAUGAGUAGCCGGCAUGAGAGAAUGUACGGCCACAUUGGGACUGGGACAAGGCCGAAACUCUACGAGAGGCAGCAAUGUGGAAUUUUGCACAAUGCGGGAGAGCAUAAUGCAGCGACACCGCAUAAUUUAGAAGGCCUUCGGGUUGUAAAAAUCUUUUCUAUGGGAAGCAGUACCAUAGGAAUAAGGACCGGCUAAUUACGUGCCAGCAGCCGCGGUAAUUC
rnacentral:rRNA from 1 species